UACGAGGGGGGCGAGCGUUGUUCGGAAUUAUUGGGCGUAAAGGGCGCGUAGGCGGUUCGAUAAGUCGGGUGUGAAAUCUCCAGGCUCAACCUGGAGGCGCCACUCGAUACUGUCGUGACUUGAGUUCGGUAGAGGAGUAUGGAAUUCCUGGUGUAGCGGUGAAAUGCGCAGAUAUCAGGAGGAACACCAACAGCGAAGGCAGCACUCUGGGCCGGUACUGACGCUGAGGAGCGAAAGCAUGGGGAGCGAACAGG
rnacentral:rRNA from 1 species